rnacentral:rRNA from 1 species
GACGAACGCUGGCGGCGUGCUUAACACAUGCAAGUCGAACGGAAAGGCCCUGCUUUUGUGGGGUGCUCGAGUGGCGAACGGGUGAGUAACACGUGAGUAACCUGCCCUUGACUUUGGGAUAACUUCAGGAAACUGGGGCUAAUACCGGAUAGGAGCUCCUGCUGCAUGGUGGGGGUUGGAAAGUUUCGGCGGUUGGGGAUGGACUCGCGGCUUAUCAGCUUGUUGGUGGGGUAGUGGCUUACCAAGGCUUUGACGGGUAGCCGGCCUGAGAGGGUGACCGGCCACAUUGGGACUGAGAUACGGCCCAGGCUCCUACGGGAGGCAGCAGUGGGGAAUAUUGCACAAUGGGCGGAAGCCUGAUGCAGCAACGCCGCGUGCGGGAUGACGGCCUUCGGGUUGUAAACCGCUUUCGCCUGUGACGAAGCGUGAGUGACGGUACUGGGUAAAGAAGCACCGGCUAACUACGUG